AUUGAACGCUGGCGGCAUGCUUUACACAUGCAAGUCGAACGGUAACAGGGAGCUUGCUCCGCUGACGAGUGGCGAACGGGUGAGUAAUAUAUCGGAACGUACCCAAGAGUGGGGGAUAACGUAGCGAAAGUUACGCUAAUACCGCAUACGAUCUAUGGAUGAAAGCAGGGGACCUUCGGGCCUUGUGCUCCUGGAGCGGCCGAUAUCUGAUUAGCUAGUUGGUGAGGUAAAGGCUCGCCAAGGCGACGAUCAGUAGCUGGUCUGAGAGGACGACCAGCCACACUGGAACUGAGACACGGUCCAGACUCCUACGGGAGGCAGCAGUGGGGAAUUUUGGACAAUGGGCGCAAGCCUGAUCCAGCAAUGCCGCGUGAGUGAAGAAGGCCUUCGGGUUGCAAAGCUCUUUUGUCAGGGAAGAAACGGCAGAGGCUAAUAUCCUUUGCUAAUGACGGUACCUGAAGAAUAAGCACCGGCUAACUACGUGCCAGCCGCCGCCGUAA
rnacentral:rRNA from 1 species